UGCCAGAUCGUCUAAUGGUAGGACACAUGCCUCUGGAGCAUGUUAUCUAGGUUCGAAUCCUAGUCUGGCAACAA
rnacentral:tRNA from 1 species